rnacentral:rRNA from 6 species
AAAACGACUCUCGGCAACGGAUAUCUCGGCUCACGCAUCGAUGAAGAACGUAGCAAAAUGCGAUACUUGGUGUGAAUUGCAGAAUCCCGUGAACCAUCGAGUUUUUGAACGCAAGUUGCGCCCGAAGCCAUUUGGUUGAGGGCACGUCUGCCUGGGCGUCACGC